AGGGCAGAGGAAGAUCUCCCAAACACACUCCUGCCCCUGCACAUGUGGUAGACAUGUGUUGUCAUUUGUCUCCGCAGCUGUUGGGACAACACCUCAUAUCUAAACCCCCCGUGCCAGUGAGUGUUUGGGACAUUUAGGGGACACAAGCAGCAUUUUGUCAGCCGACGUAUUUCAAACAAGUAGUUGUAAUGGAUUCUCAGCUGUCGAAACAGAUCCAGUGUUCGGUGUGUUUGGGGGACUUCACAGAUCCGGUGAGCCUGCUGUGCGACCACACGUUCUGCCGACAGUGUAUCAGCAAUCAUUCCCAAAGCUGCCGCCUGAAAUUGUGUCCGGAAUGCAGACGGCCCUAUACCAUGUGGGACCUCCGGUCCAACCGAGUCCUGCGGAAUAUGGUGACUGCCGUGAGGGAACACUUGAGCGAGCAGCAGGCCCUCAGGGACAUGGAUGUAGCGGCUUGUGGAGCAGGCGCGAGAGUGUUUGAGGAACCAGAGAAGCUGGUGUGUUCAGAUCAUCAGGAGAGACUCAAGCUGUUUUGUGAGACGGAUCAGAAACUGGUGUGUCUGAUCUGUAGGGACGGUGAGAAUCAUCAGGGACACACGUUCAAACCUGUGGAGGAGGCAGCAGAGCCCCGAAAGAAUUUAUUAUUAGAGCCUCUGAGCUUCCUGUCGAAGGAGAAUGAAGAGCUGCAGGCUCUUAUCAAGAAACAGACGAAUGAGAUCUCUAAAACUGAGGAAAGGUCUCGGCAGCUCUCUGCUCAGAUCUCUGCUCAGUUUGAGGAGAUGCACCAGUUUCUGAGGAAAAAGGAGGAAGAAGUGAAGAAAAUGCUGGAGAAAGAAGAGAAGGAUAUAAUAGAAAAGAUGAAAAGAAACAGAGCAGAAACAGAAGAGAAACUGAAUGACGGAAGAGAGAAGGAAGGGAUUCUACGCUCAGUCUUUGAGACUGAUCAGCCAGAUGGGUUUCUGCAGUGGUGGACUGAGAAAGGGCUGGAAUUUGUCGAAGAGAUGAAAGAAAAAGAAAGCUGCUGUGAAAAUAAUGACAUUGCUGCUCAAACAACCAAGUUCAAAUCAGCAGUGAAAAGCGUGAAUUUGACACCUAAUUCUCUGUUGCUUGGCCUUCAUGAGACUCACUUGCAGUUUAUUGUAUGGAAGGAGAUGCUGGGCUUUAUUAAACAAGUCCCGGAUCGUAAUGUCAUUCAUGACUGUCAUGAUCCAUACCUGAGGGUCUCCUCUGAUGGACGCAGCGUCAUCCGCACAUCCAAAAAGGGGAUAUUCUUACGCCACAAAGACUACAGGCCUCUGGCCCGGACCCACAAGACCUUCCAGUCAGGACAGCACUACUGGGAGGUGGAUGUAGGAGCAAAGAUAGACUGGAGUGUGGGCUUCGGUGGUGGGUGUAUAAGCAACUUAAACAAGGACAUUGGGCUCCACCUUAAGCAUGAGCAAGGCUACUGCAUCAAAGAGUAUGAGACAGUGACAGAGAUAGAUCUGACAGUGAAACCACGCAGGAUAGGGCUGUACCUGGACUGCGACAGGUGUCAGGUGUGCUUCUAUAAUGCGGAUGACAUGACUCUGCUGCACACCUCCACAUACCCUUCAUCCAUCCCUUACUCCCUCAGCCUCUCUCCAGGAGCUUAUCUGGCAGGGAAGAAUGCUGAUCCGCUCACAGUCACCUGGAACUGAUCCGUCUGGGAAAUAAUUGGACACUUUAGUAAGAUGGUUGUAAGAACUGGUCCAUUUAUGGUUUUUGAGGUGAUAUAAUAGUGCUUGAGAGAAAAUGUAUUGGCUGGUGUAUUUGCUUGCUCAGUUUGUUAGUGGGUGGUUUGCUUUACUUUUAAAAAAGUAUUUGUGACAGGCACUUUAAGCACUAAAUUCUGAGAACACAAAAGAUAACAAGAUUUUUUUGUCGUCCUUUUAGAGCCAUUUCUAAAACAUUAGAAAAAAAUUAUUCUUUGGUGAGCCAUAAUUAUAACAUA